rnacentral:rRNA from 1 species
AACGAACGCUGGCGGCAGGCUUAACACAUGCAAGUCGAGCGCCCCGCAAGGGGAGCGGCAGACGGGUGAGUAACGCGUGGGAACGUACCCUUUUCUACGGAAUAACCCAGGGAAACUUGGACUAAUACCGUAUACGCCCUUCGGGGGAAAGAUUUAUCGGAGAAGGAUCGGCCCGCGUUGGAUUAGCUAGUUGGUGGGGUAAAGGCCUACCAAGGCGACGAUCCAUAGCUGGUCUGAGAGGAUGAUCAGCCACAUUGGGACUGAGAAACGGCCCAAACUCCUACGGGAGGCAGCAGUGGGGAAUAUUGGACAAUGGGCGCAAGCCUGAUCCAGCCAUGCCGCGUGAGUGAUGAAGGCCUUAGGGUUGUAAAGCUCUUUCACCGGGGAAGAUAAUGACGGUACCCGGAGAAGAAGCCCCGGCUAACUUCGUGCCAGCCGCCGCAGUAA